rnacentral:lncRNA from 1 species
UUUGAUUUUAACCAUGUGGAUGGAUAUACAUAUUUCCUCCCAAGUAAUUGUUCUCAUUAUGUCAAACCAUAAGAGUAGAGUCAGGCUGUGUAUUUCUUUGCCAAUGUCUCAGGGCAAACGGAAUUAAAUGAAAUAAAAAAAAUGUUUACUCACAGUAAAUGUCCUUGAUUGCUUUACCAACUUGAGGCCAACACAUUAUUCAUCACCAGUCAUUUUAAAUAAUAUACAGUAUCUCCCUAUGGAGGGUCAAAUGUUAAUGUUGGGCCUGUCUAGUCAUGUCUUGACAAUCAAUUCUUACUUUGUCGAGUAGGCCAGUGUUAGACAACUGUGGCUAAAACAAACAUCUUAGAAUUUAGGGCGCCCUCUGUCGGUUUCAGUUGCGUCUAGAUUUUCGCUGUCAAUGCACCUGCGUCAGGUAAGGUUAGCUCUGGGCUCCUACGCAAUCUCUUCGUCAUCGGAGCGGAUCCAAAACAGUGGGAAGUAGUGCCGCGUUCAAAACAACUGGGAACUCGGAAAAAAAUACGAUGUUAAAUCAUGACGUCAUUGAUCUUCAGGUCGGAAAGUCGGAGUUGUAUAGGCCCGAGUUCCAUAGUUGGAAUUUGGUUUGAUGACCGUUCAAAUCGUUUUUUUCCAGUCGAGCUCGUUUUUUUCAGAGUUCCCAGUUGUUUGAAACUCACUGAAAUCGGAAGUCGAAGAUUUCCGAGUUCCGAGCUCCCAAUUCUUUUGAACGCGGCAUAGGCUAUUGUUUAUUAUCACCUUCCGGAUUCUUAGAAACUUCCCCUGUUACAGACCCGCCACCGGUAAGGAAUAUUUACCCUGUUUAGAGGUCUCUCAGCUAAAGACUUCGUAGGAUCUAACGGUGUAGACCUAUCCGAUACACUGUAUCGUGAGUGUAAUGUAAUCCUAAUACUUAUCUGUUCAAUGGAGGAACCAUUAUUUUUUGCUUGCGGGGAUUUGGUCGACUGGUCUGUCCAAACUGCUUGGGAACAGAAUGACGCCGAGGUGGACAGUGCGUUUGGAGACUGGAGUUCUGCCUGUAAUGGCAACAAGUCGGAUGCAGUUGAAAGAUCUUCAUCUCUGUCUUCACCCAUGAACAUGGACAUCUCUAAACUCUCAACAAAGCUGGAGAAUGGCAAUGUGAAGAAAUCAUGUGUAGUUUUCCAGGAGUGCUUCCAGGGCUUGGGUGAAUCUAAAGAGGCCAACUGUACUGUACGAUCUCUGUCCCAGCUGAUAGAAAACACGCAGCCUUUUCAACCGACAGCUACAAUAUGUGACUGUGGCAGCUUGUGGAGCCAUCUGGUGGCUGAGCCCAGCAGGCUGAGGCUGUCAGAGCCAAAGCCCAGCUUACACUGCCACAGCCACAGCAGAAUGGUUUCUGCCCUCAGAAUCACACCUUCAAAUUGCAUCUCUGACCAGUGUGAGUCAGACUUUUUGGAAGAUCAUGAAGGAACUACAGAGACCUCUUGCCCCCCUGCUGCUGCUGCUCUCAUCAAAACCAAGCUGCUGGCCCCCUCCUCCUGCCAUGGUGACACCCCAGCUUUCCUCUACCAAAUCUCCCAGCAGUGGCUGACUCAAUGCAGCAUCCAGCUGCAGCCUCAGCACCACAAGAAGUCUCCUGCACUGAACUAUGGAGAAGGAUAAGAUGAAGAUGCUGCUUAGCAUAGCCCUACUGUACUGUUGUAGAUGGGUGAAACGGGUUGGGUUGUUACCCGGGUGAGAACAAAGUAUACACUUUUCGCAACAUUUUAUUUAUACAGAUUGUAAAGAAAAUACAUUCUAUGAUAUUGUGUAUUUAGUUUGCAGGCAUGUUCCUGGUUUUAUAUAUAAUAUUUUGAUACGGAGUGUAGUUACAGUGAUACUAUAAAAUGUUCUAUACAUUUAUUGAGUUAUUUAUUCAGUGUAACACCUGUUUUAUACCACUAUUGUCAAGAGCAGAGGGAACAAUGCAAUUCUUUGGAAGACUUUGGAAGUCACAGUCACAGCACUCCACUAGAGGGCAUACUGGCUUCCUCAUAAGUCCCAAACCCCAUUUUGCAAACAUACAGUGCAUUCAGAAAGUAUUCAGACCCCUUGCCUUUUCCACAUCUUGUUACGUUACAGCCUUAUUCUAGAAUUGAUUACAAUUUUUUUUUCUCAUCAAUCUACACACACUACCCCAUAAUGACAAAGCAAAAACAGGUUUUUAGAAUUGUUGCCAAAGGUAUUAAAAACAGAAAUACCUUAUUUACAUAAGUAUUCAAAUCAAAAAAUCUAAUCAAAGUUAAUUUGUCACAUGCGCCGAAUACAACAUGUGUAGACCUUCAGACCAUGCACCUCAAAACAAGCUUUGUCCAUAUAUUUUGUUUUGUAGAAUACCCAUCUCUAAGUCUCACUGUAGAAACCUGGCUUGCAAUCUAGGGCAGUGCAUGGUCCAAAAAAAAGUAAUUGGGUGUGGCUUCCCACUGUGGAUACAUUUUUAUGGAAAUUUGGAUUGCUUGUGCUUUAACUAUUUAUGGCAUUAUUGAUUAUUGGUGUCCUCCACUUCUUAAUAUUUCCAUAGUUUGGUCCUCUGUUUUUCUUUACCUGCCUUAAUACUCAAAACCAUAGACAUGUUUCAUGUCAUUGGCCAUUUUGUAAGUAAGACUGCAGGGUAUCAUUGUGCUAAUCAGCACAAACCAGUAUAACAGAGAGGUUAUUACAUGUGUACAACUGCAUCUCAGACAGUUCUCUUCCAUUUCAACCACCAGGAUUUGCUUUUCCAGACAGAGAAAACAAGGGGUUAGUGGAGGUGCACACUCCUCCCACAUGUCACUUGUUUGGCUGGCGGGUUGAGUCUAUGAAUAGAAUUGAAAUACAGAGAGAAAAACCAUCACCUUUUUCCAAGUAGGCCCCUCCUACAUGACAAGUGAUGUAGCCCUGCACUUCCCUCCCCCUCUCUCUCUCUACUAUCUCCUCUCAGCUAGUGCACUAGCGGGAUGUCAGAGUGAAUUUAGAUUACAUCUCGUUGCAGUGCAGUGGCGGAAAAAAGGCAAAGGGACAUGGAGGAAGGAAGGAUGAUCCUGGGUUGUAUUGUGCCUUAUAUGUCACUCGCACACACAGAGGAAGGCAUGGGUGCAUUGGACCAUCUUUGUUUUGGGUGGGCUGGUCAAAAUAAAUUAAUAAUACAAAUAAUUGACUUUUUUAAGGGAGAUGGCCCUUGGGCCUGUUAAGAUUAUGAUUUUUGUGCAAUUUCUCUAUUGUCAUAUUAAUAUAUUUGAGCAUUUGCCUGAUCAGUGGACAACGGCCAGUCCCCCCUACCAAGAUAGGCCUGCCCGGUUUUCUGUUUGGCUGAGGUGGUGCAAAAUUCACGUUCAAUGUCAAACGCACAUCAGCAAAGAGACCUGCUCUGACUCUCUUGUCAUCAGUCAGCCCAGAUCAUGGCUUGUAAAAAACAGAAAGGUAGUGCUAAAAAAAGUUAAGAGACCAAAAAAAGGCUUGAGACCACAGCUGCUUAAUGUAUGAAAUAAAUCAACUAAUUUUCUAAAAGUUCUGGUUCGGCUGGUCCAAGUGUUGUGACAGAUGCUGCUACAGAAGACAGUGCAGUCGAGGUAUGGAGAAAGCCUAGCUACUGUGUUACUCUUUCUCAGUUUUCAUCCAAAUGCCCACAGAUUUUAAUGCGAAUAUUCAAAAAUCAGCAUAAAAACUCCAAGGGGUUUCCAUCAAAUUGACUUGUUGCGGAUAAAAGGCUGCGCAUGAUGAUGUAGUGCACAUAAUAAUACAUUUUCCAUUGCAUUUUUAACUUUACUGAUGAUUUUCUCACAAAAAAACAUGAGUUAUAUAGCGAGUGUGCCCACUGGUAUUGGCACGUGCUCUCUAGCCAACAGCUCUCAGACACUGUGCGAGUAGGCCAAUAGCCUAUGGAUGAGAUUAUUAUGGACAAGAUUAUUUCUAUUUGUCAAAUGGCAGCCAAGCAUCGAUGAUCAUGUCAUAAGACCCUUUAUGUUUAUUGGAAAGGAGCACAUCACCUUGCACUUUUCACCACCCUGUGAAGUUCAUAAUUUAUACUGAACAAAAAUAUAAACGCAACAUGUAAAGUGUUGGUCCCAUGUUUCAUGAGCUGAAAUAAAAGAUACCCGAAAUGUUCCAUUCACACAAAGUUUAUUUCUCUUAUCUUUUGUGCACAAAUGUGUUUACAUCCGUUAGUGAGCAUUUCUCCUUUGCCAAGAUAAUCCAUCCACCUGACAGGUGUGGCAUAUCAAGAAGCUGAUUAAACAGCAUGAUCAUUACACAGGUGCACCUUCUGCUGGGGACAAUAAAAGGCCACUAUUAUGUGCAGUUUUGUCACAACACAAUGCCACAGAUGUCUCAAGUUUUGAGGGAGAGUGCAAUUGGCAUGCUGACUGCAGGAAUGUCCACCAGAACUGUUGCCAGAAAAUGUAAUGUUAAUUUCUCUACCAUAAGCCGCCUCCUACGUCGUUUUAGAGAAUUUGGCAGUAUGUCCAACCGACCUCACAGCCGCAGACCACGUGUGUGGCGUCAUGUGGACGAGCGGUUUGCUGAUGUCAACAUUGUGAACAGAGUGCCCCAUGGUGGCGGUGGGGUUAUGCUAUGGGCAGGCAUAUGCUACGGACAACAAACACAAUUGCAUUUUAUCGAUAGCAAUUUGAAUGCACAGAGAUACCGUGACGAAAUUCUGAGGCCCAAUGUUUUUUCAGUUAUGUGACCAACAGAUGCAUAUCUGUAUUACCAGUCAUGUGAAAUCAAUAGAUUAGGGCCAUAUUAAUUGAUUUAAAUUGACUAUGUUCCUUAUAUGAACUGUAACUCAGUAAAAUCUUUGAAAUUGUUGCAUGUUGCAUUUAUAUUUUUGUUCAGUGUAAUAGCUAUUAACACUUAGGAGUGACAGGUAGACAGAGUGAUAGAGGAGAACAAGAAGAAGCAUAGACAGAUUGACAGAG